rnacentral:rRNA from 1 species
GACGAACGCUGGCGGCGUGCUUAACACAUGCAAGUCGAACGGAAAGGCCCUGCUUUUGUGGGGUGCUCGAGUGGCGAACGGGUGAGUAACACGUGAGUAACCUGCCCUUGACUUUGGGAUAACUUCAGGAAACUGGGGCUAAUACCGGAUAGGAGCUCCUGCUGCAUGGUGGGGGUUGGAAAGUUUCGGCGGUUGGGGAUGGACUCGCGGCUUAUCAGCUUGUUGGUGGGGUAGUGGCUUACCAAGGCUUUGACGGGUAGCCGGCCUGAGAGGGUGACGGGGGCAGUGAGGAGGUAUGUACGGCAGAGACGCGUGUGGGGGGCGGCAGUGGGGACGAUUGCACUAUGGGCGGAAGGCUGAUGCGGCGCCGACGCGUGCGGGGUGGGGGCCUUGGCGUUGAAGACCGCUUUCGCCUGUGACAACGCGGGAGUAGGGGGCAUGGGUAGAGGGGCACCGCAUACGUCCGUG